UCUAAAGCAAUGAAUGAGAGUAGUAAACAUCUAAUCAAGCCGCAGCGAUUCAGGGAUGGUGGAAGCCUGAAGCUUUGAUAUUUGUUGAAUGGACUCAUGAGUUCAAAUCUGAAAUAAUAGUAGGAUUUGACGGCAUCUACCGUUAUAGAUUAAGUGAGUCAUAUGACUAACUAGAGUGGUACCGCGGAAGUAGCUUUUCGUCUCUUAU
rnacentral:ncRNA from 1 species